CGCUGUUUCGCAUUGUGCUUCGUAAACGGUUGAAGCGUAGCACCAUGUGAAGCUGCUCU
rnacentral:pre_miRNA from 1 species